rnacentral:rRNA from 1 species
GGGAAGGCCCACCAAGCCGACGACGGGGGAGAGCAAGAGCCCGGAGAGGAACCGAGACAAGGCCAGGCCCACGGGGCGCAGCAGGCGCGAAACCCCGCAAGCGAGCAACGCGACGGGGGGACCCCAAGGCCACCAACGGGGGGCCAAGGAAAAAGCGGAAAAGGGCGGGCAAGACCGGGCCAGCCGCCGCGGAACACCGGCAGCCCAAGGGGGCCAAGGGCCAAAGCGCGAGCCGGCCGAAAGCCGGGAAACCCGCAGCAACGGGGAAGCGGAGAACACAGGCGAGGCCGGGAGAGGAGAGGACCCCAGGGAGGGGGAAACCAAACCGGGAGGACCACCGGGCGAAGGCGCAACGGAACGAACCGACGGGAGAACGAAAGCCAGGGGCGCGAACCGGAAGAACCCGGGAGCCGGCCGAAACGAGGGACGGGGGGAGGCCCGAGCGCCCCAGGCCGAAGGGAAGCCGAAGCCACCGCCGGGAAGAC